rnacentral:rRNA from 1 species
GUAGGGAAUAUUAGUAAUGGGCGAAAGCCUGAACUAGCAACGCCGCGUGUGCGAAGAAGGCCUUCGGGUUGUAAAGCACUUUUUGAGAGGAUGAGGAAGGACGGUACUCUCAGAAUAAGUCUCGGCUAACUACGUGCCAGCAGCCGCGGUAACACGUAGGAGGCGAACGUUAUCCGGAUUUACUGGGCGUAAAGCGCGUGUAGGUGGUUUGGUAAGUAGGGCGUGAAAGCUCCUGGCUCAACUGGGAGAGGCCGUUCUAAACUGCCGAACUAGAGGAUGGUAGAGGGAGGUGGAAUUCCGGGUGUAGCGGUGGAAUGCGCAGAUAUCCGGAGGAACACCAGUGGCGAAAGCGGCCUCCUGGACCACUCCUGACACUCAGACGCGAAAGCUAGGGUAGCAAACGGGAUUAGAAACCCUGGUAGUCC